AUGUUCCCACGCGCUUAAUUUUUUGAAGAUACCUAUAUCAGACUUAUCUAAGCAAUUGAUAAUAGAAACCGGAGAAGACGUGUAUCUACGUUUGUAACAACGAUCCAGGAAGCAUUGUAUGGUAGUAAGUUCUGGUGGAGAUGAACCAUAUACUGAUAUUCUGUACGUAAGUUUAGGCAGAACCAGAGCGCUGAAUAAUUUGUCCAACUCUGCCUGACAAUAACCCUCCCUACUAAGAGUUCUAAGAAUAUAGAGGCAUUUAUUAGCUGCGGCCAACUUAUUCUUGAUGUGAAUAGAGAACCUACAAUUUCUUGAAAUGUAACCCCCAAAAUACAUAGAUGUGAUUGUUGGGGGAUAUUCUGUACUGUGUCUAAUACAUUCUUGUAGCCCUUCUUUCAGAAAACCAGUUCUUUACAUUUAGAGAUAUUACACUUCAUGGAAUUAUCGAUAGACCAUUCUGUAAAGUUAUUAACUACAUGAGCAGCAGUAUUACUAUCACUAUCACCCUUCCAAACUGGAAUAAUUAGAGUGGAGUCAUCUGCAUACUGCAUACUAGUCAUCUUCAAAUUUGGAACAAUAAACAUUUGGCCUUCACAGCGAGUUGUUAGGGAAACAAUGCCAGAACCAUUUAAGGAGAAAUUUCCCUCUACAAGAGUUAUAAUUGACUGUACGGAGGUUAAGUGUGGAAUGCCCAGUAGUCUUCUUUUAAAUUCAGAGCUUUUCAGUUCUUACAAGAAUAAUACUGCACUUAAAGACUCUCUGUCAACUGGCAUACAUUGUGCGCAUUUGUUAUUGUUUUGAUGAACUCUGAGUCCGACGUACAGGUCAAUCCAAGAUGGCGGCCUAAACUAGGGACACGGCAAAUAGCUUAGUUGAGGCAGAUUUAUUGGGACAAGAGGGCCCGGGACCACGGGUAAAAAAUUAUGGGAGUGUGGUAAGUGAAUUUUUUUCUUUUAGAUGAUCUCAAAGCCUCAACAUGCUUUCAUAGCUAGUUUAUCGUCGUGAUCGAAGAACUUACCUUCACGCACACAGCUUUUUUCAUUUAGAUUGCAGAUCUUGAACCAGAAUAAGUUAAGCCUGAAGGCGAAGCAGAGUCAAAUAGGACUUACUGUAAAUGCAAUUGUGCGUGCAAGACCAAGAGAAACUGUGGUUGUCCAUGUGGUACAAGCAAUUUAUCAUGUGUCGCAGGACAAUGCAAAUGUGGGACGUUGCAAAAACCAUGUGCGAACAUGAAUCUUCAAAUAGUAGCACCUGGGAGCUUGCUACAGAAUUCAAAGGAAAGGCAAAGACGAGAUAUAGAAAACGCAAGGGAGGAAAUCGAGACGACUUAAGAGAGGGACAGCAGAGACGAUUGCUCAUAUGAUAAACAACGGGCGAUUUCGUGAGAAGGCUUCUACCUGAUGACAACGACGAUGACCUGCAACCAGGCCCAGUAAAGAAUGCAGUUCCAAGAAUCCUGGAUCUGAGCAUGCAUCUAAUGGAGACACUGAGAAUUUAGAUGCUGGGCACUUUAUCUCCACUAGACCACAUUGUUUAGUACAUUUAUUGUCAAUGACCAAACCAUCAGGUGAAGCUCACAAUCAAGGCACCUCUAAACAAACUAUGAAACCAGACUUGAAUACUUUAAGGGGUUGCCUAAUAGAAAACAUGUACUUCUGAUACUCCAACAAUGCUAUUGGCUCUUAUUUAUUACCAUGAGCUGUGUAUCUUGAUGAAAAUGGCUUAGGAUCAAUCAAGGCAUUUACAAGGGAGUCAUGAUUCCUUUGUCGUUUUGGCACUCAUCCAAAGUUAGAAGCAGUUAUCCUAAACAUUCUCUCCUCUUUCCAUUCAUCAGAUUUCGAUUGCAUUUUAGUUUUUUGUUCAAUUUUACUGAGCCUUUUUUUUUCGUCAAUGGUUAGAUGAUCUAACAGAUUUUGUUCAGACUCUGCAUCACUUGAGUAGUUGGAUUCAAUCUUGCCACCACAGGGAAACUGAGGAAACUCAUCUAAUGGAAUCUGUCUCAUGUGCAGUUCUUGUAACAGCGUCAAUGUUACAAAAGACUUGGAAAUUUGCUUCUGUAACCUGAAGUUGAUAACUGUCAUAUGACCCUAUUGGGCUUCUGCCGGACUUUGUAUCCACAUGUUCAGUGCUUUCGCUAGAGGGAGUCAUGAUUUGAGCUAAUGCUAUAUUAGGAUUUAUUUCUCUCAUUUUUUGUUGAAGUGUUAUCUCCCAUUCUCUCCGCAAAGCAACUGAGUUUCUGGCUUCGUAUGGUAGACAGUGUAUACCAGGUUCUUUAGCAGAGUUUUGUACUUCAUCAAGGUUUGUUUUUGUUACUGAUAGCACCAUAACAGGCUGGGGUUUUAUACUUUCUUGUCUGCCUCUAUGAUGCCAUAUUUGUAGUGAUGACGUGCAAGCCCUUUUCAGUGUCAUGUCAUCUUUAUCAUCUAGGUCUGAAGUAUCUUUACAUUCAUAAAGACUGAACUUGCAUACUUUAAACAUUAAA